AACAUAAGAUAGUUUAAAGACUUAGUUGUGAAGCUUCAAGCUAUAAAAAUCCUAGAUGAACACCUAGAAAGUACUCUUCUAGACACUGGCCUCUGGAAGGAAUUUAACACCUUAAAAAUAAAUGCAACAGGCUGGGUGCAGUGGUUCAUGCCUGUAAUGCCAGCACUUUGAGAGGCUUAGGUGGGCAGAUCAUGAGGUCAGGAGUUUGAGACCAGCCUGGCCAACACAGUGAAACCCUGUCUCUACUAAAGAUACAAAAAACCAGCUGGGUGUGGUGGUGCACACCUGUAAUCCCAGCUACUCGGGAGGCUGAGGCAGAAUUGCUUGAAUCCAGGAGGCGGAGGUUGCAGUGAGCUGAUAUCAUGCCAUUGCCCUCCUUCCUGGGCGACAGGGUGAGUCCUUUGUCUUAAA
rnacentral:lncRNA from 1 species